rnacentral:rRNA from 1 species
UACGUAGGGACCAAGCGUUGUCCGGAAUCAUUGGGCGUAAAGAGCGUGUAGGCGGCUUGUUAAGUCUUGCGUGAAAUCUCGGGGCUCAACCCCGAGCGGUCGUGAGAAACUGGCAGGCUAGAGUGCGGGAGAGGAGAGUGGAAUUCCUGGUGUAGCGGUGAAAUGCGCAGAUAUCAGGAAGAACACCCGUGGCGAAGGCGGCUCUCUGGAACGCAACUGACGCUGAGACGCGAAAGCGUGGGGAGCAAAUGGG